rnacentral:rRNA from 1 species
UCGAGCGCGGGAAGCGAGUGGAUCCCUUCGGGGUGAAGCUCGUGGAACGAGCGGCGGACGGGUGAGUAACACGUGGGCAACCUGCCUGUAAGAUCGGAAUAACCCCGGGAAACCGGGGCUAAUGCCGGGUAAUACUUUUCUUCGCAUGAAGGAAAGUUGAAAGAUGGCUUCUCGCUAUCACUUACAGAUGGGCCCGCGGCGCAUUAGCUAGUUGGUGAGGUAACGGCUCACCAAGGCGACGAUGCGUAGCCGACCUGAGAGGGUGAUCGGCCACACUGGGACUGAGACACGGCCCAGACUCCUACGGGAGGCAGCAGUAGGGAAUCUUCCGCAAUGGACGAAAGUCUGACGGAGCAACGCCGCGUGAACGAUGAAGGUCUUCGGAUCGUAAAGUUCUGUUGUUAGGGAAGAACAAGUACCGUGCGAAUAGAGCGGUACCUUGACGGUACCUAACGAGGAAGCCCCGGCUAACUACGUGCCAGCAGCCGCGGUAAUACGUAGGGGGCAAGCGUUGUCCGGAAUUAUUGGGCGUAAAGCGCGCGCAGGCGGUUCCUUAAGUCUGAUGUGAAAGCCCACGGCUCAACCGUGGAGGGUCAUUGGAAACUGGGGAACUUGAGGACAGAAGAGGAGAGUGGAAUUCCACGUGUAGCGGUGAAAUGCGUAGAUAUGUGGAGGAACACCAGUGGCGAAGGCGACUCUCUGGUCUG